rnacentral:misc_RNA from 1 species
AUGCAUAUUAUGCAUUUGAUAUUUUCCGCACUAGCCUAUGGCAUUGAAAAUUACAAGUGCUGUGUGAUGCUUACCCCUCCUUUAUUGCUAUUUUCGCCUACCUUAUGACAUCCUCUUCCCGAUUUCCUUCUCUUUUUGGCGGUUGGCAAUUGCGAUUUAAGGCCACGUAUUUUCUUGUCUUAAAUUUUCAUUCAAAACGUUAUGAUGGUAAAAAUAAAAGAAGGAUGUGUCCUUUAAUGCCAUUGCAAUGUCAAACUCUAACUGGAAUCGUAGGAUUGACAAUAAUUGUCAUAAAUAAACAAUAAGGAUCCUACAUAAGAUUGUCGUUGCUUUUUCAACGGGUAACUGAUUGGAUGAUAGAAUGACAAGGGACAUUGCUUAAUGCUUAUACGGGUAAAUACAAAUCUAAAUAUUGAAAUCUAAUUGUAAAUUGAACUCGGCGAUUAAUAUUUGCGCUCUCGUUUCGUAUAACUCUUAGCCAAUGCAUAAACCCAUUAGUGUCGACAUCGGCCGCAAGGUGAUAUGGAGGAUUCUUGCAUGUCAUUAACGGUGUUGAUGCGUGAUGCCACACCCUAAAUCGAAAACCCACGAUAGCGAUGGAAAUGCUGCAUGAGAGGAUCUUCGCUACACCACACAGUGCAAUAGAGGCGGGGAAAGAAACUGGAAAUUCGAAAAUGUUCAACUUCAAGAUGCCUUUGGGCUAAAGCGAUGAAUCAGGGUGACGGUAGGUAUUAUAAAAAUGAACGUGUGAAGUGGAAGUAAACCAGUUACGUUGGUGCCUUCAAACUGACUCCAUCGUCGGCAACAUAUUGCAUCGGCAACAUAUUGCAUAUUCGGUUGUCAAUCAUGCGGGACUACGAUGUCAUGCUGCUGUUUGCUUUUGCCAUUUUGAUGGCUACAUCGGCGGGUACCGAUGGGUUUGUCCUCAUCUGGACACUAGACUACACAACCCCUACGCCCUACUACACCACCUCGUAUGCUGCUCCCUCUUACAGCACCAAGGCUCUCGAAUAUUAUACCACAUAUGCAGCUGCCAGCUACUACACCGAGUCUUCCAACUACUUAAUACACGACCAGAACGCCCAAAUACUACACGACCAUAUAGUCUACUCCGCUCCAACAUACUACACUCAAGCCAUUAAAUACUAUGCUGCUCAAAGGGGGAAAAUAUAACUUUUUGUUCGAAACUGUGGCUAUUGAAAUAAUGCAGGGAAACUUAUGAAGACAAAACCAAAAUCAUGUCUUGAGUUCUUUGAGAUUCACUUGAACUUAACACCAGAGAAGGACCUGCCUUUGAUCAGAAACAGAACUGGUGAUAUCCAUAGCAAAAUAAACUGUGAACUUUUACUAUUAAAAAUGGAGAAGUUGUGCAAUGUAGGACCACACUCAAGACACAAUUAAAAAGGAGUGCCGGAAAUUGCCCGAUUGUGUUAUCAACGUAGUUUGGUGCCUAAAUUCACGGUAUAUAAGAGUUGAGUGCAUUUCUAUGUGUAGCGGCACUUGAAAUGACUGGGUGACGGGCUCUCCCACUGUUGGGACUGCUAUAGUAACCAAGAGUCUGUAAGCAAUUACAACUCGAAAGGUGAAGCGUUGGAAUGGGAUUGGCCCCCCAUUGCAAUGCAAGACUGAAUAGAGAGGUAAGAGCCCUCAGCUGAUGUCACGAUGUGGAUCAUAUAGUACAGCAAUAUGAUCUCCGUCCGGGCAGGUCUGGAGGUUACUAAAAUAGCAAGUCAAUCAAGUGCUUAGCGCAACCCUUUUUUUUUUCUUUUUGUUUUCAACAACUAUUUAAGCAUUUCCCUAAAAUAGAAAUUACAGGAUGAAACUAGGAAAUUAGCUUUAAUGGUGGAAAUGCAUACGGAAAAGAAUUUCGCUACACUAUGCUAUUCAAUGAAAUAGGGUAAACAGCAGAAGUAAGAUUUAAAGAUGCCCAAUAAAUUCUCUAUGCCAAUGGGCUAACGUAAUGAAUGAAGUCAAUAUUCUGUACUAGGUAUCAGAAGAUAUAAUAUCAUAAACAGAUUCACAAAUAUUUGAUAUAACUCUAAAAUUUUAAACUGUAAAUUAAUGUUCAGAAUUACAAAGCUGUUCAAAGCAAAAUUGAAAUUGCCUUCACCCACCUUAUUUGAUAAAGAAUAGACAAAAUAAUGGAUUAGGUAACGAUAUACAUUUGUAUUCAACAUUUCAUUGAGAAACCACAAUGUUAUGGAACGACUGGUGAAUGCAUAAAUAUAUAUCAAGGAAAUACUUAAUUUGGAACGAGGACUACCAAUGAUAAAACAAAAUCUAAUUGACACUUCAUCGAACUAGAUAGACAACACAA